rnacentral:misc_RNA from 1 species
UCUCCGUUGGUGAACCAGCGGAGGGAUCAUUACAGAGUUAUCUAACUCCCAAACCAUUGUGAACUUACCAUAUGUUGCCUCGGCAGAACCUACCCUGUAGCGGGCUGCCGGUGGACUACUAAACUCUGUUAUACUAUUGUAAUCUGAGCGUCUUAUUUUAAUAAGUCAAAACUUUCAACAACGGAUCUCUUGGUUCUGGCAUCGAUGAAGAACGCAGC